CCUACGGGUGGCAGCAGUAGGGAAUAUUGCUCAAUGGGGGAAACCCUGAAGCAGCAACGCCGCGUGGAGGAUGACGGUUUUCGGAUUGUUAACUCCUUUUGUUAGAGAAGAUAAUGACGGUAUCUAACGAAUAAGCACCGGCUAACUGCGUGCCAGCAGCCGCGGUAAUACGGAGGGUGCAAGCGUUACUCGGAAUCACUGGGCGUAAAGAGCGCGGAGGCGGGAUAGCAAGUCAGAUGUGAAAUCCUAUGGCUUAACCAUAGUACUGCAUUUGAACCUGUUAUUCUAGAGUAUGGGAGAGGUAGGUGGAAUGCGUGGUGUAGGAGUAAAAUCCGUAGAGAUCAAGAGGAAUACUCAUUGCGAAGGCGACAUGCUAGAACAUAACUGACGCUGAUGCGCGAAAGCGUGGGGAGCAAACAGGAUUAGAUACCCUUGAAGUC
rnacentral:rRNA from 1 species